UACGGAGGGUGCAAACGUUGCUCGGAAUCAUUGGGUACGUAAGCGCACGUAGGCGGCCUGUUGCGUCCGCUGUGAAAUCCCGGGGCUCAACCCCGGGCCUGCAGCCGAUACGGGCAGCUAGAAUUCGGUAGGGGAGACUGGAAUUCCUGGUGUAGCGGUGAAAUGACGCAGAUAUCAGGAGGAACACCGGUGGCGAAGGCGGGUCUCUGGGCCGAAAUUGACGCUGAGGAGCGAAAGCGUGGGGAGCAAACAGG
rnacentral:rRNA from 1 species